GCCGGGUGUGGUGGCACUUGCCUGUAAUCCCAGCGGCUGGGGAGGCUGAGGCAGGAGGAUCAGAGUUCAAAGCCAGCCUCAGCAACAGCAAGGCACUAAGCAACUCAGUGAGACCCUGUCUCUA
rnacentral:sRNA from 1 species